GUACCAUUUUGAACAACCACAAAUGUUUAAUUUUACACAUACACAUUAACUAUAGUGUUUCAUCCCUUUAUUAUAAUCUCCCUUACAAAAUAAAUGCGAACUCUUUUUAGCAGAAACAUUUUUGUUCCAUUUCCGAUUUCAUUUUCGUGAGAAUGUGGGCCAGCUGAUCACCAUGAAGAAGCUGCUAGUUACUGAUACAAAUGAAUUCUAGAGAAUUUUAUUAGAAUAACAUGAAAAGAAAGUUAGAAGCAUCACCAAACAGAUGACCAGGAAACACUUCAGAUACAUUUCCCAUUUCAAAAUCAUGACGGUGAAGAAAUAUGAAACACGGCAAGAGUUCUCUCAGAAGAAACAGAUUAUGCCACCCCAGAAAUAAAGUGUCUGACACCACACCAUUGUAGGACCAAGAAAUAAAAUCUACAAGUUGUGGACAAUUAUGAGGAUAUAAAAGACACUAAUAUAAUAAUAUAAUUGGCUCUCUUGUUGUAAAGUGAUAGUUGUAUGGGAAUUGUGUAAAUAAUUAAAUUUUGAAAUUCAGUUUUGUAAAAAAAAAAUUUAAAUAGUGCUAGGAACAUUUUUGUUAGCCAUCAUAAUAUAUGUUAGUGUUGUAAAUAUUUGUAAAUAUUACAGCAGCUAGAAUACAUGGUUAUUAUCUGGUAGAUAUUUUAGUAAUCACAAUAAUGUAAGGGGGUAAAAAGUGUAUUGUACCAUGCAGUGCGGCUAAAAGAACAACUAUCACUGGAUAAUUUAUGUGCUUGUAUAAUUUUUUUUUAUAAAUCUCUUAGCUACAAGAAACUUACUACAACAAGCAAGUUCAAGAAAUACACACCUGUGUCAAUCCCAUUAGGAAAUAUGCUAUAGCAACUUAUUUUAGCUACAGUAUUCUCAUGUGAUAAAAAAUAAAGAUAUGUUAUACUAAGUUACUCAUAAUACUUUCCAAAUUUACCUAAACAGAUAAAUAAUGGUAAUUAUUGUGUUAGGUCCAAAAUAAGGGUUAGGAUUAUAAUGCAAUGAAAUAAUGUGAUCAUUGAUUUCAAUACCAAGCAUCCAACACAAGUUUUGGAAGUUUAUCUCUUUCUUAUGAGUUUCAUAUAUAAAUAAAUACAUUUUUAUGUGUUUUAGUAGUAUGUGAAAAUUACCAAUAUGUGUUGAAAUACAUAUAUUAUUGAUAUGUUUAAUAAAUCUCUAGUUUGUUUUGCCCUA